rnacentral:rRNA from 1 species
UACGUAGGGUGCAAGCGUUGUCCGGAAUUAUUGGGCGUAAAGAGCUCGUAGGCGGUUUGUCGCGUCUGCUGUGAAAACUCGGGGCUUAACCCCGGGCCUGCAGUGGGUACGGGCAGACUAGAGUGCGGUAGGAGACUGGAAUUCCUGGUGUAGCGGUGAAAUGCGCAGAUAUCAGGAGGAACACCGGUGGCGAAGGCGGGUCUCUGGGCCGUAACUGACGCUGAGGAGCGAAAGCGUGGGGAGCGAACAGG